AUUGGCCAGGAUGGUCUCAAUCUCUUGACCUCAUGAUCCACCCGCCUCCGCCUCCCAAAGUGUGACAUACAAGCAUCAAGGGUCUAUCACCCUGGUUGGAGUGCAGCAGUGUAAUUAUAGCUUACUGCUGCCAUGAACUUCUGGGCUCAAACGAUCCUCCCACCUCAGCCUCCCUAUGUGCUGGGAUUAAAAGUGUGAUCCACCACGCCUCAUCACAAUGGUCUUAAAAGACACCCUAUUUCAUGUAAGUGCUCAAUAAACUGUUACUUACUGUGACAAGAUACAA
rnacentral:lncRNA from 1 species